rnacentral:rRNA from 1 species
ACACGGCCCAGACUCCUACGGGAGGCAGCAGUGGGGAAUAUUGCGCAAUGGGGGCAACCCUGACGCAGCCAUGCCGCGUGAAUGAAGAAGGCCUUCGGGUUGUAAAGUUCUUUCGGUAGCGAGGAAGGCAUUUAGUUUAAUAGACUAGGUGAUUGACGUUAACUACAGAAGAAGCACCGGCUAACUCCGUGCCAGCAGCCGCGGUAAUACGGAGGGUGCGAGCGUUAAUCGGAAUAACUGGGCGUAAAGGGCACGCAGGCGGUGACUUAAGUGAGGUGUGAAAGCCCCGGGCUUAACCUGGGAAUUGCAUUUCAUACUGGGUCGCUAGAGUACUUUAGGGAGGGGUAGAAUUCCACGUGUAGCGGUGAAAUGCGUAGAGAUGUGGAGGAAUACCGAAGGCGAAGGCAGCCCCUUGGGAAUGUACUGACGCUCAUGUGCGAAAGCGUGGGGAGCAAACAGGAUUAGAUAC